GACGAACGCUGGCGGCGUGCCUAAUACAUGCAAGUUGAGCGAUGAAGCUUGGUGCUUGCUCCAAUUUGAAGAGCAGCGAACGGGUGAGUAACGCGUGGGGAAUCUGCCUUUGAGCGGGGGACAACAUUUGGAAACGAAUGCUAAUACCGCAUAAUAACUUUAAACAUAAGUUUUAAGUUUGAAAGAUGCAAUUGCAUCACUCAAAGAUGAUCCCGCGUUGUAUUAGCUAGUUGGUGAGGUAAAGGCUCACCAAGGCGAUGAUACAUAGCCGACCUGAGAGGGUGAUCGGCCACAUUGGGACUGAGACACGGCCCAAACUCCUACGGGAGGCAGCAGUAGGGAAUCUUCGGCAAUGGACGAAAGUCUGACCGAGCAACGCCGCGUGAGGGAAGAAGGGUUUCGGAUCGUAAAACUCGGUUGGUAGAGAAGAACGUUGGUGAGAGUGGAAAGCUCAUCAAGUGACGGUAACUACCCAGAAAGGGACGGCUAACUACGUG
rnacentral:rRNA from 1 species